CUUUCUCCGCCGGCGACCGGCGCACGGGUGAGUAACACGUAUGCAACCUGCCCCUGUCAGGGGGACAACCCGCCGAAAAGCGGGCUAAACCCGCGUACAUGCCACCGGGGCAUCCCGGAGGCAGGAAAGGCUUCGGCCGGACAGGGAUGGGCAUGCGGCGCAUUAGGCAGUAGGCGGGGUAACGGCCCACCUAACCGACGAUGCGUAGGGGUUCUGAGAGGAAGGUCCCCCACACUGGUACUGAGACACGGACCAGACUCCUACGGGAGGCAGCAG
rnacentral:rRNA from 1 species